AUCCAUAUGAUGAGUCACAAAUAAGACGAAAUACACGUCCUGGAU
rfam:Trichobilharzia regenti genome assembly, scaffold: TRE_scaffold0054599